rnacentral:misc_RNA from 1 species
GGUGGUGUCUGAGUAAGCAGAUUUGGUUGAGCGGCAGAAAUAAAAACUCUGGAGAGAUUCCAAUGGGGAAAUUCCCAAGACCACGACCCUUGAAGUAAGGGGGGAUUGAAGCAGCGCCGUUUAGCUUUAUGGUUAUAACGUAUUAGUUUUAAGGGAUAUUUAAGUCCUACAUGGAACAAAAUACUUUGCUUUAAUUCAUAUUAUUUAAUAAUU